GGGGAUUUAGCUCAGUGGCUCAAGCACUUGCUUGGUAAGUAAGUGUGAGGUCAUGAGUUCAAUCCUCA
rnacentral:tRNA from 1 species